rnacentral:lncRNA from 1 species
CAGGUCCUUGACCUGGUAACGUUCGACCUUCAGGACUAAUUUUCCGUAGAUUUGGCUGUUGAGAUCCUCCACCUGAUGUUACUCGACUUCAGGACUAAUUUUCCGUAGUUCUAUCUGUCCAGGUCCUCCACCUGAUGGAUCUUGACAUCCAGGAGAAGCGCUCCGUAGUUCUGGCUGUCCCGGUCCUUGACCUGUAUUCGAGGUAUAACCCGAGGUGGUCAGCGGUGGUCGUUGGUGGUGGUUGGAGGUAGUCGAGCUGGACGAGGAGAACAAGGUGGACAAGGAGGAUGAGGAUUUGUGCUCGGUAACUCUGCACAUACCUUCGAUCUGUUCGCUAUAUUGGUACACGACGAGUGAACCUCGUUUCGUGGGCUCCAUCCGAUUGGACUCAGCAACACGAAUUCGUCGCCUAAUUCUCGAAAGUGCAAUAACAAAAAUUAAACGUGAAAUAGUUGUAGCUAUUAUGAGAAAGGAUAAGUUAGGUUAAGGAUCUCUGGAUAGGUGCACUCUGGUUUAAUGACAUGAAACUGCAUAUUGAAGCGUUCGCUGAAACUGUACUUAUGACUAACUCCUUGAAUGCGGGAGGAUUACAAUACAAGGAGUCGUUUGGACAGCAUUGCAGCGCUGCGACAUUCUUGAAUAACGAACGAAGUACAUCGGAUAACCAUCGGAAAUACAACUUGUUUAAAUUCUUCCUGAUACCUGCUUCCACAACUGACACAUAAUUCAUAUCUAUUCUAAUGCUCGAUACAAAGCAUUGAUUCUGCAAGCUAUUGAAUCGUGUUAUAUGAGAUUAGAUAAGUCGGAACGCAUGAUGGAUGAUCAAAAAUGAUAACACAAAAUAAUAUGCACGUGAAAAAACACACAGGCCUCACUAGCAUACAGUGAGAAUAUGUACGUCCGACUCCUUAGCUGUGGGUCCUACGAUGUUCUGGAUGCCGUGAUUUUGACGAUUCUGAAUGAUGUUGGAAUCAAUUCUUGAAUGCAUUAUUUCGACGCAAUUUUGCGAAAGGAAUCGUUUGGGCGCGGUCCAAGUACGCUGCGCCCAAGAAAUUCAGAAUUGCAGCCGAAAGCAUCCGAUUCCUACCGAGUUUUCAGAUGGAUGGGAAAGGAAAAUUAUGAAUUCACAGUGACAAAGUUUUUGUUUCAGUUCAGUUACAGUUUAUUCAAUGUGCCUUAAAUCUAAUACAAGUGUUCGCGUGACAGUGUACGGUACUUCAACAGGUUGCCUAAUAGUAGUUAUUAUAAAGUUGAAGACACAGAGAAUAUGAGGAAAGAGAAGUACAAUAUAAGUUGCUUUGAGCAGAAUGCGUGAAUGGUUAUAUGGGUGUGAGGUAUAUGUUGUAAAGUUCAAGUUCUGAGCUAUACACGUGUGCAAUGUACAUACCUCUAAAGAAUACGAUACGAAUAAUAUUGGUAUAUAAUAAUUUUACUACUGCAUGUAACCUGUACUAAAAUCAAUAAAUUAAUAAAUUUCCCUGUAUCCUUUAUGCCUUUUUUCUGCUGUUGUUUCUACGGUAUUUCUAGUGUAUUUUCGGCGUUGCUGGGUGUACAAUUGAUUGGAACACGGACAUACAAAUGAAUUGCGAAGCAAACGAUUUUUUGCUAAAACAGUGACCCCUUUGCAUUUUUUGCGAAAAUUUUCGCGAUUUC